GGAGUGGUUAUGGUGCAUAAGCCAUUUCCUUAUGCACCGUGCAUAAUUGCUUCCUACACCCAAAACCAUUUUGUCAUACACCCCCCAAACCAAACCAAACUAAGCCCAUUUUGUCAUUUCUCUUUCUCUUUUCAUUUCAUUUCUUUUUUCUUUUCUCUUCUUUUCAUUGCAUUUCUCCAAAAACCAACCGUCGCCAUUUCCGUAAUUGAUCCCAUUCAUCGCCAUCACCACCGUCGCCAUCACCGCCGUCGCUUGUGUUCAUCUCCACCACCGUCGUUGUGUUCAUCGUCAUUACCGUCGCUUGUGUUUCAUCAUUUCUCUCCAAACCACCGUCGCUCACCACAACAGUCGUCGAACAGUCACCGUUCGCCGUCGCCGUCGCGCACCAUCGUAACCGGUUGCUCACCAUCAUUUCAAUUGCUCGCCGUCACAACUCGUUGUGUUCAUCGCCAUCAACAUCAUCGUCAUCGUAACCGUAACCGUCAUUCAUAACCACCGUCAGUUGCAUGGUCGCCGUCGCUGUGUUAGAACCACCGUCAUUUCAUAACCACCGUCACUGAAGCAUUCAACAUCACCGUCACUGAAGCAUUCAACAUCACCGUAACAGCAACCAAGUCCCCGUCGCUGUGUUUGUCUUUAUCACCGGAACUCCGUUUUCGCAAAAUGAUGAAAAAAAAACAGGUUCAAACUUAUCAUAUAUGAUUUCUUGCUCAUUUUCACUGUCGCUGUCUUACAUUGAACAUUGUUCUCAAAUAGUUUUGAAAUCAUCUCAAAUUGACAAUUUAAUUUCAAAUUGAAAUGGUUUCAGAGUGUUUGUGCCAAGGGAGUGAAUCGACAAAUGAAAAUUGGUCCCUAGUGAACUGAAAUUGAUGUGAGAACAAUGUUCAAUGUAACAGGUUUAACAUGCAACAUCAUAGCCUCUAACAUAAGCUUGUAGACCAUAAGCUUUUGUCAAGUUUUACUCUGAAACCAAUAUGCUAUGUAAAUGGUUUUCACAAGUUUUACUCUGAAACCAUUUUGGUCCUGUAAAGUUGAAACCAUUUUGGUCCUGUAAAGUUUUCAAUUGUGCAUGUCUAGUUAGAACUUAGAAGUUACAAGUUUCUACAUCUUAAAACCAUUUAAGAAAAUAAAUACCAAAACCAUUUUCAUGUGGAAAUGGUUUUUAUGUGUUGUACACUAAAAUCAUUUGGUGCUGGUAAUUGUUUUCUUUGGAUUAAUGACUCAAGUAUAGUAUAAUCAUCUGAUGCUGGUAAUUGAUUUCUUUGAUCCAGGUUAACAAAUCUAACGACGGGCCAAUUCCAAACUUCAGUAUUGGACUUACGCAAUUAGAGCAGGAGCAAGCAUCUGAUGACGGAAAAAAGGGUAAAAAGAUGGAAAAG
rnacentral:lncRNA from 1 species